CCUACGGGUGGCAGCAGUAGGGAAUCUUUCACAAUGGGCGAAAGCCUGAUGGAGCCACGCCGCGUGCAGGAUGAAGGCCUUCGGGUUGUAAACUGCUUUUAUAAGCGAGAAAUAUGAUGGUAACUUAUGAAUAAGGAUCGGCUAACUACGUGCCAGCAGCCGCGGUCAUACGUAGGAUCCGAGCAUUAUCCGGAGUGACUGGGUGUAAAGAGUUGCGUAGGUGGCAUAAUAAGUAGCUAGUGAAAUCUGGUGGCUCAAACAUUCAGACUAUUAGCUAAACUGUUAAGCUCGAGACCGUUAGGGGUAACUGGAAUGUCUAGUGUAGGAGUGAAAUCCGUAGAUAUUAGAAGGAACACCAAUAGCGUAGGCAGGUUGCUGGGACGGUUCUGACACUAAGGCACGAAAGCGUAGGGAGCAAACGGGAUUAGAUACCCCUGUAGUC
rnacentral:rRNA from 1 species